rnacentral:rRNA from 1 species
CAGCAGCCGCGGUAAUACGGAGGAUCCAAGCGUUAUCCGGAAUCAUUGGGUUUAAAGGGUCCGUAGGCGGUCUUGUAAGUCAGUGGUGAAAGCCCAUCGCUCAACGGUGCAACGGCCAUUGAUACUGCAGGACUUGAAUUAUUGGGAAGUAACUAGAAUAUGUAGUGUAGCGGUGAAAUGCUUAGAGAUUACAUGGAAUACCAAUUGCGAAGGCAGGUUACUACCAAUUGAUUGACGCUGAUGGACGAAAGCGUGGGUAGCGAACAGGAUUAGAUACCCCUGUAGUCCCUGUCUCUUAUAU